GGUGAACGCUGGCGGCGUGCCUAAGACAUGCAAGUCGAGCGGGCCGCGGGGUUUUACUCCGUGGUCAGCGGCGGACGGGUGAGUAACGCGUGGGUGACCUACCCGGAAGAGGGGGACAACCCGGGGAAACUCGGGCUAAUCCCCCAUGUGGACCCGCCCCUUGGGGUGUGUCCAAAGGGCUUUGCCCGCUUCCGGAUGGGCCCGCGUCCCAUCAGCUAGUUGGUGGGGUAAUGGCCCACCAAGGCGACGACGGGUAGCCGGCCUGAGAGGGUGGCCGGCCACAGGGGCACUGAGACACGGGCCCAACUCCUACGGGAGGCAGCAGUUAGGAAUCUUCCGCAAUGGGCGCAAGCCUGACGGAGCGACGCCGCUUGGAGGAAGAAGCCCUUCGGGGUGUAAACUCCUGAACCCGGGACGAAACCCCCGACGAGGGGACUGACGGUACCGGGGUAAUAGCGCCGGCCAACUCCGUG
rnacentral:rRNA from 1 species